AGCUUAGCAAAAAAAAAAAAAAAAAAAAAAAAAACGUAAUCAAGUUGCUUCUUUAAUGUUGAGUUUAAGGUUUUGUUAAGUGUAACAACCGUGUGUCGAUUUUUGUUAUUUGUGAGAGAGGAAUUCGGAGGACCCGAGUUUGAUGUGAUCGGUCGGGAUUUUUUCCGGUUGGUUUUGUGACCACGGUCGGAUCCUGAGAGAGGACGACUGCAGACCCACUGCGAGCAGGAGGCACAACGGCGGUCGCUGCAGCGGUGCGGAGGAGUGAAGGAUUUGUUCCAUGGAUUUGGAUGCCCACGAUUCUCCACUGGAUAACAGAUAAGCUUAAGCAGACAACCAAUAGGGGGGCCCUAACGGAACUAAAACUGCGCAGUUAAUCAGUUGACUGACAUACAUUUUUUUGACUUUACUGAACUUAAACCGAACUGGUUAACUGAAACACUUUAGACUGAACUGAACUGAACAUUUCAAUUGAGGAAACUGGAUACAGUUGCUACCAUGAGGGAAGAUAAAGGAAACUGAUAAGCUGAAGUAUCGUUACUACCCGGGUAGAAUUUUAAUUAAAGGGUGGACAAUUUUAUUUAUCAAUUUUUAUUUUGGUUAUUUUUUUAUAAGAGCUGUGAACAGAAAGGGACAAUCCCUAAGUGUAUUGAUGUUACUGGAAACAAACAGAAAGAAAAUGUAAACUGAAGUUUUAUUUGCUUUUUAUUUUGUUAAUAAAUUUAUAUUAUGUACAACCUAAA